UGUUGCUUCGGCGGGGAGCCCUCUCGGGGGCGAGCCGCCGGGGACUACUGAACUUCAUGCCUGAGAGUGAUGCAGUCUGAGUCUGAAUAUAAAAUCAGUCAAAACUUUCAACAAUGGAUCUCUUGGUUCCGGCAUCGAUGAAGAACGCAGCGAACUGCGAUAAGUAAUGUGAAUUGCAGAAUUCAGUGAAUCAUCGAGUCUUUGAACGCACAUUGCGCCCCCUGGCAUUCCGGGGGGCAUGCCUGUCCGAGCGUCAUUGCUGCCCAUCAAGCCCGGCUUGUGUGUUGGGUCGUCGUCCCCCCCGGGGGACGGGCCCGAAAGGCAGCGGCGGCACCGUGUCCGGUCCUCGAGCGUAUGGGGCUUUGUCACCCGCUCGAUUUAGGGCCGGCCGGGCGCCAGCCGACGUCCAACCAUUUUUCUUCAGGUUGACCUCGGAUCAGGUAGGGAUACCCGCUGAACUUAAGCAUAUCAAUAAGCGGAGGAAAAGAAA
rnacentral:rRNA from 1 species